AGGCAGCCUCCUUGAUACGAUUAAAUGACAAGAGAGGUGUUAAACUGCUCGUAAGUUAAAUCCUUUUGCUCCUCAAUUCAGACCUGCCGAGAUUUUCUCUAAAGCUGUACUAGUAAGCUCAAGAACUUU